UACGUAGGGUGCAAGCGUUGUCCGGAAUUACUGGGCGUAAAGGGCUCGUAGGCGGCCAACUAAGUCAGACGUGAAAUCCCUCGGCUUAACCGGGGAACUGCGUCUGAUACUGGAUGGCUUGAGUUUGGGAGAGGGAUGCGGAAUUCCCAGUGUAGAGGUGAAAUUCGUAGAUAUUGGGAAGAAACACCGGUGGCGAAGGCGGCCAUCUGGACCGCAACUGACGCUGAGGCGCGAAAGCGUGGGGAGCAAACAGG
rnacentral:rRNA from 1 species